UCCCUGGUGGUCCAGUGGUUAAGACUCCACGCUCCCAACGUGGGGGCCCAGGUUCGAUCCCUGGUUGGGGAU